AGCUGGAUUUUCAGGGCCUGCUAUUAUCGUGAAAAGUUUCGUCAACAACAUUAUCCUUUAGGUUGGCUUGUCUUGUCUUGAUGGUUCGAAUCGCUGACUAUUGGAAACGUACCGAAGGUGAAAACAAUUGGGUUAGUCAACUUUUUUUUUUUGGACAGCAAUAACCCCUUUUAUUCAUCUUUCAUCGAGAGAGGGAUUAUGCUUGGGGGAGGGGAAUGAAACCAUGAAGAUGGUGGUGUGGAUUUGUGUCCCUUACCCGAAAAAGAAAAAAAACUUUGUGUGUUAGCGUUAUGCCGGGCGGUCGCCGGUCGGACUGUGUAUAUUGUGUACUUGUGUGAUCUGGGUCUCUGACCGCCUAUGGACUGGACCGUGUAAGAUUGGCGAGUAUGAAAAUUGCCGCUCGCCAAGGGAGCUAUCGGUCAGGUCACAGGU
rnacentral:lncRNA from 1 species